rnacentral:miRNA from 1 species
GCUUAGCAGUGCAAGUGUGAC